CUAGACUACUCACUAGACCAAGGAGGAGAUUGGUCCGUGUGAGUCAGAGCUGAGUCGCCUGGCUGUGUCCAGCCUGUAUCAGCUGACCCUCAGAUGGGCGUAAGCCACCCCAGCUGACAUCAAUAGGGCCACAGAGCUAAGCUAACCUCCAGCAACCUACAGAUGCACAAGCUCUAGAGGUUUACAGUCCCAGCUGAGUCUAUCCUUUAGUCAUGCCAGCUUGGGCUCCAGGCGCAUGAGUCAAGAAGCCAUCUUGGAAAUGGAUUCUCCAGCCCCAGCUAUUCUGGCCACCAGCUAUUCAUCACUCCCUGUUAUGUGAGUUGGGUCAGCUGAAGACGCAGAUACUGUGCAGCAGAGAAGAAUGCUCUUUAUGAAUUCCUGGCCCACAGAACCCAUGAGCAUAAUAAAAUGGUUGUUGUCUUUUUAA